GAACGGUGGUUAUUUUGUAGUAAUACGAAGUGAUCAUAGUGGCGAACGGGUGAGUAACGCGUUGGUGAUCUGCCUCGAAGUGUGGAAUAACGUUCCGAAAGGAACGCUAAUACCGCAUGUGCUCUCGAUUUUUAGAAAGUUGAGAGUAAAGGAUUUAUUCGCUUCGGGAGGGGCCUGCGUCCCAUCAGCUAGUUGGUAAGGUAAUGGCUUACCAAGGCGAUGACGGGUAGGGGACCUGAGAGGGUGGCCCCCCACAAUGGAACUGAAACACGGUCCAUACACCUACGGGUGGCAGCAGUAGGGAAUAUUGGUAAUCUGGGAAACCGGGAACCAGCAACGCCGCGUGCACGAUGAAGGCCUUCGGGUCGUAAAGUGCUUUUUGAAGGGAUGAGGAAGGACAGUACCUUCAGAAUAAGCCUCGGCUAACUACGUGCCAGCAGCCGCGGUAAAACGUAGGAGGCGAGCGUUAUCCGGAUUUACUGGGCGUAAAGCGUGUGUAGGCGGUUUGAUAAGUUGGAUGUGAAAGCUCCCGGCUCAACUGGGAGAGGUCGUUCAAAACUAUCAGACUAGAGAGUGGUAGAGGGAGGUGGAAUUUCCGCGUGUAGUGGUGAAAUGCGUAGAUAUGCGGAGGAACACCAGUGGCGAAAGCGGCCUCCUGGCCCAUUUCUGACGCUCAGACACGAAAGCUAAGGUAGCAAACGGGAUUAGAGACCCCGGUAGUCUUAGCUGUAAACGAUGUGAACUUAGUGUCGGUGGGGUUAAAUCCAUCGGUACUGAAGCUAACGCGAUAAGUUCACCGCCUGAGGACUACGGCCGCAAGGUUAAAACUCAAAGGAAUUG
rnacentral:rRNA from 1 species